GUGGUUGAGAACUCAGGGGCACUCGACCACUGAGCCACAUCAGCAGCCUUAUUUUGUAUUUUACUUAGAAACAGGGUCUCAUUGAGUUGCUUAGGGCCUUGCUGUUCCUGCAGCUGGCUUUGAACUCAGGAUCCUCUUGUCUCAGCCUCCCGAGCUGCUGGGAUUCCAUGUGUGCACCAUUGCGCCCCACAGGAGAUGACUUUAAAGUUGAAGCCUAGGUUGGGGAAAGAGUGGUGUUUGUUUGUUUGUUUAUUGUCAAUAGACCUUUGUUUUAUUUAUUUAUAUAUGGUGCUGAGAAUCGAGCCCAGUGCCUCACACAUUCUAGGCAAGUGUUCUUCCUCUGAGCUGCAAACCCAGCCCUAGAGUGUUAAUUCUUUUUUUUUUUAUGUUUAUUUUUUAGUUAUAGGUGGACACAUAUCUUUAUUUUAUAUUUAUGUGGUGCUGAGUAUUGAACUUAGUGCCUCACGCAUGCUAGGCAAGCGCUUUACCUCUGAGCCACAACCCCAGCCCUAGAGUAUUAAUUCUUGAUCCAAAAAAAUAAUUUUAAUUAUUGUGUGAUGUUUGGCCUUUGUACCAUUGGAGUGAGUUUUUGUUUGUUUGUUUGUUGUUUUUUAAUAGUUUCUAUAUGUGUAUAAGUAAUCACAUUUAAAUUUGCUUUAGUAACCAAAAUAUAAAGGAUUUACCAUAACUAGCUAAGAGGGACCUUGUCAGUCUUCUGGGCUCUUAAUAGGUGACAGGAGGAAUGCAAAAUCAAUUAAUGGUCUAUUCUCAUGGUCAUGGGAGGGCACAUAGGUUCACAAGUACUUUACAAAGGUGAAAUAGUGUUAUGGUGGUCUUCAUGCUAUAAACGUUUGUUGAAUGCCUUCCACAUACCAAACAUAUGCCAAGACACUGAAUGCAGAGCAAUGAAUAGGAAAGACAGAACUAAAAGUGGGAAAAACUGGAUAGGGAAGAAAGUUAGUUGUAUAGUCCCUUAAUGAGGAUUUUGAAUUAGGAUGGUAGCAGUAGAAAUGAAAAAGUUUGAAUUUCAAGAAUCACAUAAUGAGGUAUAGUUGAUCACUAAUUCAAUAAGGGGAAACGGGAACUUUGAAAAGGCCUUUUUUGCAUGUUUGAGUGAAGAUGCCAUUAUAGGAAGAGUCAAUAAAAAGAGGAUCUUGGUUCAGGGUGGAGAAGUUGCUAUAUUUUAUUCUGGACCUAUUAAAUUUCAGGCAUCACUGGGCAGGAAGGCCUCAGGUUCUAAAAAGAGACUAGUGAGAAAAACUUAAAGUUUGAAACAAAAAAGGGUAAUAUUUCCAAUGAAAACCAUUUGUAGGCAGGUAUGAAAUAAAUUGAAGGCUGACAUGUAGAAAGAAGAGAAUAACUUUUUUUUUAAGUUUAUGGACACAGCACCUUUAUUUAUUUAUUUUUAUAUGAUGCUAAGGAUUGAACCCAGUGCCUCAGAUAUGCUAGGCAAGCACUCUACCACUGAGCUACAACCCCAGCCCACCUUUUUUUAAAAAAAUAUUUAUUUUUUUGUUUCAGGUGGACACAAUAUCUUUUAUUUAUUUUUUUGUAGUGCUGAGGAUCGAACCCAGUGCCUCGCGCAUGCCAGGCCAGCGCGCUACCACUUGAG
rnacentral:lncRNA from 1 species